rnacentral:pre_miRNA from 1 species
AUUCUACUCCCUCCGUUGCACAAUACAUGCCUUCUAUUUGUCAAAAUAUAUAUGUAUCUAGACAUGUUUUAGUAUAUAGGUACAUCCAUGUUUGGAAAAAUGGAAGUCAAGUUUGGAACGGAGGGAGUACACA